GCAGCGCUCCUGCAAGUUCGGGCCCCGGCGCUGCCAGAGGCGCCAGCCCUAUAUUUAGCCUGCAAAGCCGCUCGGCGCAAGGCAGCCUUCCUCCAUUUCGCCGGUAGCCAGCACCUGGGGAACUACCAACUCCGUGACGCGGUCAGCUGGGGCCGCUCCUUGGCAGACUACAACCUGAGGUUACGGAUCUCAAGGCUGCGGGAGGCCCGGACCCUACACCCCUCGGCACCCUGCGCAGGUAGAAUGGCCUCUUCCUUCGCUGCCUGCACUUAAAACUCACCUGUCUUCUGCUGAUUCUACUCCGUGCUAGUGAGACCACAUCUGGAAUAGUGGGGCCAAUUCUGAGCGCCCCAGAUCAAGAGAGACAAGGAAGAGUGUCAAGAGGAGGCUACACAAAUAAAGAGAGGACUACUGCAAUCUUUUUACGGGAAAAGGCUGAGACUUGGAGCUGUUUAGCCUUGAGAAGAGCUGACUCAGAGCUGAUAAGUUUCUAAAGUGCAGGUGUUGAGAGAAUGCAGCCUGAGAGUUUCUGACCAGCUGCCCACAGCAAUGUCUUGGAGUGCACAUCCCCAACUCACAUCCAGCUUUUCACUCACCAGCACCCCAAGUACUUCUCCAUGAGACUAUUCUCAAGCUUGUCAUCAUCCAGCCUGUAUUGAUACCAGAGUUCGUUUUGACCAUGGUGCAGGAGCUUGCAUUUGGCCUUGUCAAAAUGCAACCACCAGCCUAAGGUCAGUUGCUGACGCCAGAGCACUCAGCCAGUCCACUGGAAAUGGGACUUGCUUCCACUGAAAUGGUGACAGCCUGUUUCCAUUAGCAAGACACCUGACUGGAAUUAGUCAGGAUACCUAAUAAUACACGUUCAGCACUGGAAAACAAUGUGACCAUGAAUGAGCUAUAUAAAAAUGCCUCAAAAGCUGCAAAAAAGUUGUCCUUUGCUUUAUGAUUCCCAUAAAUGGUCGUUCUGGGUUCCAAAAUAACAGCAGGAAAUGUAAGGAAGUGCAAGUGCAAAUACUUCUCUUAAAUGUGGUUUAUCAUGGACACUUAUCUCCAAAGAGUUCUCUUUGAAUACAGUUUACAGUGUAUUUUGUUGCACUGUGACAGAUACUGUAGGGCCUUGCAGCAGAAAUAUUUUAACACUGGGAAAUAGCAGCACACCUAGGCACUAGCACCUUGGCUUUCUUCAUGGCUUUUAAGGAAGCAAUCCUCUGUUUUCCCCCUGGUACAAACAGAAAUGCAGUAAGAAAACAGCAGCAGCUGUAUUGAAGGGAGUGACCUUUUAAAGGAUUAAGGCACACAUCCUUAACUAGCUUAAACCUUCAGACGUAUUCUGCUGCUUGUACACCCCAAAAUAGUUGGUUCUGGUUUAGAGGAGAAUCCCACAAUAAUUGUUUUGUAUUCUUAUUUUAGUAAUUCAUUCUGCCAGAGGAGAAUCUUGUUGCUUCCUACUCCCAUUUAAACAUAAACAUGAUUUUUACCCUACAAGGAUGGUAUGGUUUUAUAAAGGUUAACUUUUUGACUGUAAGGUAAAUGUAU